GGGGAUAUGGCUUAGCUGGUAGUGUGUUUGCCUCUCAUGCACAAGGCCCUGGGUUCAAACUCCAGCAUUGCCA
rnacentral:tRNA from 1 species